rnacentral:rRNA from 1 species
AACGAACGCUGGCGGCGUGGAUAAGACAUGCAAGUCGAGCGGGGUAUUAUUUGUAGCAAUACAAGUGAUGCUCAGCGGCGCAAGGGUGCGUAACACGUGGGCAACCUGCCCGAAAGUGGGGGAUAGCUCACCGAAAGGUGAAUUAAUACCGCAUGUGGUUAGCGAAGGAAUCUUCGCGACACUAAAGCCGGGGCAACCUGGCGCUUUUGGAUGGGCCCGCGGCCUAUCAGCUAGUUGGUGAGGUAACGGCUCACCAAGGCUAUGACGGGUAGCUGGUCUGAGAGGACGACCAGCCACACUGGAACUGAGACACGGUCCAGACACCUACGGGUGGCAGCAGUCGAGAAUUUUUCUCAAUGGGGGAAACCCUGAAGGAGCGACGCCGCGUGGAGGAUGAAGGUUUUCGGAUUGUAAACUCCUGUCAUUAGGGAACAAAUUGCAGCCAGUAACUACGGUUGCACUGAUAGUACCUGAAGAGGAAGAGACGGCUAACUCUGUGCCAGCCGCCGCUGUAA